rnacentral:rRNA from 1 species
CACGCCGUAAACGAUGUCAAUUAGGAGCUUGGACUUAAGUCUGGGUUCCGUAGCAAACGCAAUAAAUUGACCGCCUGGGGAGUACGGCCGCAAGGUUAAAACUCAAAUGAAUUGACGGGGGCCCGCACAAGCGGUGGAGCAUGUGGUUUAAUUCGACGCAACGCGAAGAACCUUACCUGACCUUGACAUAGUGAGAACCUCUCUGAAGGGAGAGGGUGCCUUCGGGAAUUCACAUACAGGUGC